rnacentral:rRNA from 1 species
AGAGUUUGAUCCUGGCUCAGGAUGAACGCUGGCGGCGUGCUUAACACAUGCAAGUCGAACGAAGCACUUUUACAGAUUUCUUCGGAAUGAAGUUUUAGUGACUGAGUGGCGGACGGGUGAGUAACGCGUGGGUAACCUGCCUCACACAGGGGGAUAACAGUUGGAGACGGCUGCUAAUACCGCAUAAGCGCACAGUACCGCAUGGUACAGUGUGAAAAACUCCGGUGGUGUGAGAUGGACCCGCGUCUGAUUAGCUAGUUGGCAGGGCAACGGCCUACCAAGGCGACGAUCAGUAGCCGACCUGAGAGGGUGACCGGCCACAUUGGGACUGAGACACGGCCCAAACUCCUACGGGAGGCAGCAGUGGGGAAUAUUGCACAAUGGGGGAAACCCUGAUGCAGCGACGCCGCGUGAGCAAAGAAGUAUUUCGGUAUGUAAAGCUCUAUCAGCAGGGAAGAAGAAAUGACGGUACCUGACUAAGAAGCACCGGCUAAAUACGUGCCAGCAGCCGCGGU